UCUCAAAACCUCAUAAAAAUCGUCACAUCACAUAAAUCAUCUAAAUCAUCAUAAAUCAUUUAAAUCAUCAUAAAUCACACAUAUAUUAUAUAAAUAUAAUAUAACUCGUCUAGACUCAAUUAAAUAAUCGAUUAAUUAAAAGUGGGCGUUACAAUUUCUUUAUUUCUCCAAGGCUCUUUCCACAAAAAUCAAUCACUUGAUAAACUAAUUGUUCUCAAAGGCUUCAUCAGCCACAUGCAUGAAAUACAUUAAGUUACUUUAUCGAAAAUGCAGCAUGUCGAAGUCUGUAUGCUCUUGGUCGAAAUCACUUUGCACUUUGCAGCAUGUCGAAAUAACCCAUCUACCUUGUCGAAAAUAGAAUCAUGAGUUCGACCAAAUAUUUCAUUUUUUAUGUUAACAACAAGUAAGUAUUAGUAAUUUAGCAUUUGAUUUUCAUCACUAGUGGACCCAUCCCAUUUAGUGUUUUACCAUGAUUCAUAACUAAGUCUAUUGUAUUAAGCUAGUAGUGGCUUUGGCCCCUUCUUGGUUGUCUGUAACUCAUGUAAUUUUCAUGAGUCUUUACCUAGCACUUCUUGUGCCGGUGUGGAGCUCUCUUCUUUGAUAUAAUUUUAUAUUUUUGAAAAAAAAUUAUUAUCAUACAAUAAUUUUAAUUUAUAACUAAAUAUGUUGUCCCUUUUUCAAUGUCUUAUUUAUACAACUAAUUUUCUUCAAUAUUCAUUAUUAUUGUUUCUCAUUUAAGACUUAACCCCUAUAUAUUACGAAAGGUUAAAAGAUAAAUAAAUAAUUGUAAUGAAGUUUAAUAAAAGAAUAUUGAACUUAGAUGAUAAUCAAGAGUUUUAUCUGAAACCUUUAUUAAUAUUAAGUGAUAAAUCUAGUGACAUAAGGGGAUAAAGAUGACAAUUUUUUAUCGAGUCGUCUAGUGGCUAAAAGUCCACCCUUUUAAGGUGAACAAGUGGGAAGUAUGGGGUUCGAACCCCAAUCUCUACAUAUAUAAUUCAAUGUUCUUGUCAACUGAUCUAUAUUCACAAGGAUUUAUACACGACAUAUUUAUUAAAAACAUUGAUUUCGCUGUAUAAAAAAAUAUUGAUUUCAAUUAUAUGAAUUGAGUGUUGCAAAUUCGAAAUGCUAAAAAUGUAUCGAAUGGCAAAUGUUAGUAAUUAAUGGCUAGAUUAGUUUUUCUCAUUUGUAUGGGUUUGAACCAAGGGCCUCCAACUUCUUAGAAUUCUGCUUAUUAGCCAAACAGUAUUGCUCAUUCCCAAAGUAAAUGUCCAAAAUGCGUGUAUGCGCUAGUGUAUUUUUUUUUACCUAAGUUAAGUCACGUAGCGUGACUUACUUGCGCUAGUGUAUUCUGAGCGUGAGUUAACUCACGCCAGUUGGCCGGUGCAGAACUGAAGAACAAACGUUUUUUGGUCUGUGGUCUGUUUUUUAACAUUCAAUCCACACGUUUUUAACACUAUUUUACACGUUUUUUGACCACAUUAAUGUUGUGUUUGAAAAUGAUGCAUGAUGAGGUUCUGCCUGGGCUAAUAAUAGCAUGUAGCAUGACUUAAGUCACGCUGUGUGACUUAAGUUGCGUUCCUCUUAUAACUAGCGCAACAUAAGUCACGAUAUGCAUAUUAACAUGCGCAGGGGCAUUUUGGACAUUUACUUUGAGAAUGAACGAUACUGUUUGGAUGAUGAGCAGAAUUCAACUUCUUAUUCUUUAGCUCAAACCACUUACCUACCCAACCCUUCAUUAAAUGCUAAAAACUAUUUAACUAAAGUUAACAAAGCAUGAUAAUUUCUUUAUAAAGCAUUGAAGAAAAUGUGUUUAUUACAUACAAUUGAAGAAAAAUAUGGUUCACAUUCUCAUGUUUGUUUAUGCUUUGAUCUUCUCUAAUUUCAUAUUUCUUGUUGAAGCAAAUAUGGGUUUGUGAUUUUUCAAACAAGUUAUAAAUUUUCUAUAUAUCUUAUAAACAAUAUUAUAUCACCUUGAAGUAACAUUCUUUUUUCUUAUAUGACCUUGCAGUUGUCCUUGGAUGUGUUUCUGAUGAUGAUUGUCCAAAGGUGCCUUUACCUCGUUUUUUGAAGUGCAUCGCAAAUUUGUGUUGUCUCGUCAGGAAAAAAGAUUUGUGAUGUUUGUCGACACACAAAAGUGUAACUAUUAUGUGCAACAAUAACUAUGUCAACUCUAAGCAUAAGGUUUGAUUUUUAUAUAAUAAUGUAAAAACUUUUACAUUUUACUUCAAAACUUGAUUUAUGUUUGUAUGACCUUUUCAUUUUCAUGACAAUCUCAAAAGUGUAUUAUGAUAUUAUUCACAUGUAUUCUUACCUUUGUUCUUAAAUAAUAUCAUUAAAACAACAUCAUAACGGAAUUAUAUUAAACUACUUUAGUAAAUGUAACAAACCAAAAAACUACUUUAAUAAAUAAAUGCAAUAUAUGAUCAUGUAAAUUCCUUAAUUAUUAUACUUCUAUAUUUAAUAUAUAUUUAGUAAAAUGUUAAAAAUGAUUAAACCAAGACUUUUAUGCAAGAAGUUCAUGCAAAUAAUUUACUAUGCUCAUUAAAUAACGUUGCAAUAUGAUGUAUGCAAUUUAAAUUUUUACUAUAUUUAUAAUUUAUAAAAGUUAAGACAAGAAUGUAUAUCUUUAUCUUUAUUAUAAACAUUUUCCUUGCAUCAAAUAAAAAGUACAUGUGGCAUAUUCACAUUGUCCAUUGUAUUUGAUGCUUUUAAUCAACCAAUUAGAAUGAUUCAUGACUCAUAGUUUUUGUAUUAGCCAAUCAAGACAAUUUGUUUUUCAUUAUUUCCAUCUACCUCUUCCUCCCAUAAAAGAUCAUGGAAGUUUAAUCGCGUAGAAAUGCUAUUUUCGGCUUUGGUUUGAGGGGAUAGUGAGUGCUUGCAGAUUUCUAUUGUGUGCACCCUUUGGAU
rnacentral:lncRNA from 1 species